GUGAAAAAUUGUGUUUAAUCCUUCAAAAAAUUAUUUAUAUUUUUUUAAAUGGAAAUUAAAAUUCUUUUUGAUUAAUUUUGCAAUAUUGAUGAUAAAUUUAAGAUGUAACAUAUAGCAAAUUUUUUUUAUAUUUAUUUACUUUCCAUUGCAAACAUGUGUCAAACGAAAGCCUAUCACUUGAGGUAUUCUGCCCAGUUGUAAUGAAGUCCCAAUUAGGGUCAAAUUUGGGGAAAGGGGAGGUAAUAAUACUGUUGAACUAAUCAUACUGGAAGAUCCUUCAGUGUAAGCAAUAUACUAGACAUUUUUUAAUCAACAUAAUUUAUGAUAUAUGUGUGAGGUUUUUUUUUUUACAUAUCAGAUGUUUGCUAAUUUUAUUGACUAUUAUUUAGAGCUCUGUAAAUAAAAAAAAAAUGUAAACAAAGUUCUAAAUAAUAGAUUUUUAUCAGGGGAGGAUCCUGGAUUUUUGAAAAGAGGGAGGGCAUAUUUCCAUCAAAAUGAAGAAAAUUUUUUCAGAUGAUAUAAAACUUAAAAACGAUGUAUUUUCCAAUCAAAGUCAGGCAUACAUCCUCUAUGCCAACCCCCUUGAAUCCAUCACUGUUUACUGUGGGAGAAAUUAUUUGGUCACUACUAUUAUUGAGUAUAUUCUCAAAAAAUGAUCAGUUGAAAGUGCAGGCAUCUGAUAUUUUUGAUGAACUGUAUUUUGUAAAAAUAAAUGGAAAACAAAUACAUUGACAAGUGAUUAAAUAAACUGCUUUAAACAAAAAUAACAUGAGACUUUUAUAAACUAGUGUCUAAAGGUUUUGACAAAACUCAUAGAAUAGGACAUUCAUUCACUUACAUUGAUACAAUGAUGACAGCCAUCUUGGCAGCCAGGAUAGCAGCUCUAAGGAAGAUUGUCAAUUCUUCAACCAAUUCUGAGGCUUUACCAGGAAAUAUUUGUGGUUGAUGUAAUGUAUUCAUGGUGUUGAAGUAAAACUUGGGAGAUCUGAUACUGCUAACAUUUUGGUAAAAGUGUAACUGCUGCUGCCUUAGUGUGUGGUCAGUCCUGUGGACAAUAAUUAUGGGUCAAUCCUGUGGACGAUAAUAAUCAUGCAAACCAUAUGAUAAACUAGUGUUGUUUUGUUUUUACUAUUAUCAUCCAAACCAUAUGAUAAACUAGUGUUGUUUUGUUUUUACUAUUAUCGUCCAAGCCAUAUGAUAAACUUGUUUUGUUUUGUUUUUACUAUUAUCGUCCAAACCAUAUGAUAAACUUGUUUUGUUUUUACUAUUAUCAUCCAAACCAUUAUUGAUAAACUUGUUUUGUUUUUACUAUUAUCAUCCAAACCAUAUGAUAAACUUGUUUUGUUUUUACUAUUAUCAUCCAAACCAUCUGAUAAACUUAUUUUGUUUUUACUAUUAUCAUCCAAACCAUACGAUAAACUAUUGUUGUUUUGUUUUUACUAUAAUCCUUAAAUGAUUUAUUCUCUAUUCUUUUAACCCCAUCCAGACCCUCAUACUUAUCAUAUUUAGUUGUCAUAGAUUAUCUUCAGUAUCAAAUGGCACUCUGUAUUUUUUUUGGGGGGUGGGGGUUGUCAAAAUCAAAUUUUAAGUGUCCCAAUUGAAAUGAAUGGACUUGUGAAACAAGAAAGCAAAAUUAAGCAGCUUCUAUCAUAAUUUUAUAAUGUGAAUGAUAAGAUGGUUUGCAUAUUUUUUAGUUUGUUUCACUGCUUGUAGUUGUCAGAUGCCAGCAUUGAAGAUUCAAAUUAAAAUGAAAAUUCAUUAUAUGAAAGUGUUGAAAAAAGGCCAAUAAUACUCUUUUACUGUAAAUUCAGAAAUUAAUGUGUGCAUUUAUUAUUGUAAAUUCUCGACAUCUGGCAAAGGUGUGAAAUUUAAUUACUACGAUUGCAAAGAUUUGAUGAAGGAAAUUUACUACUAAAAUUAUGAAUGCGACUGUUUAUUAUUGUGAACCAUACUGUUGCAUUUUUCGCAUUAAUAAAAACAUCACAAUAAUUUAUGAUUUUACAGUAAUUAUUAUUGGAGUAAUAGAUUAUGAGCCAACAGAUAAUAUUGCUCUCUUUCAUACAUUUCGUAAUGAAGAAAUUUGACUUUAAAGUUAUCUCCCUUCCUUAGAAAAAAUUUAGUACUCGUUCCCUGCAGAAUGCUCAAUUAUUACAAUUAGAUAUGUAAAUUGAACUGUACUACAAUAUACCCAAUCAGAUUUAGUAUUAGAAAAGGAUAGAAGUGCAAAAAGAUUAAGAAUCUUUGCAAAAUAACAAAACUUGGGGUUUAGAUGGAAGAAAUAAAAGGCAAUUAUAUUUUCUAGGUGAUAAGUUUUUUGCACAUAUUUAGAAGUGGAGUUUAUUUAAAUCACUCUAGGAAAUGGGUCAAAAACACCUCAAAUAAACAAAUUUAGUAUGUUUUUACCUUUUUAUUGUAGCUUGUACAAUAUUUUUGUUUGUUUAAGAUUUCUUUUAUAUUGUUUGAAAUGCUGUUUUUAAAAGAACAAGACAAACUCUGGAUUCAUGUUUUUUGUUGUUGAAUUCUAUAAAUUCUUAUACAUUUAGUAUUAAGUUAUUAUUGAUAUAUAUAUAUUAAUUAUUUCUUUAAUAUUUAUAAUGAUUUUGCUUUUGAAGCAAAUUGUCUUGUUUCAUUUAGGUAUUGUGUAAUGUGAUGCAUUAUAAUGGUAUUUGAUGAAUACAUUGAUUGGUAAAUAAAAUUUAUUUUAGAAAA